UUUUUUAUAGGCAUUGUUCAUUGCUAUUAUCAUGUUUCCUAGGCUUUAUCACAAGUCCAAACUUCCACUGGUUUGCUUGUUAGAGGGCACUAAGCUUGUUCCAAAUUCUGCUUAGUGAAACUGAUAAACUAACUUAGAUACAUUUUAUGCUGUUAUUGUAAUUGCUUAAUUCAUAGUCCCCAUUUUUUAGCAUUAGAGCUUAAUUUCAUGAUGAUUCUUCACUACAGCGGGAAUAGCUCCCCACCAUAUCUGCAUUCUGUCCUUGCAUCUUUCAAAACACUGCAGCGCUCCUCAGCAGUUACGUGGUUUAUUUCUGCCACCCUCUCCUCUGUACUUAGGUUUUCAAGCCUUUUGUUUUUUCAUUAGGUAGAUACCCAUGAGGCAGCUGUCUUCAGAAACAUUCAUCAGCUCAUCCAUACACAUUUUAGCAAAAGCCCUCUCAACAUCAGGAAAAUGCCAAUGAACUUUCCUUUGUAUCUUGGACAGGUACUUGCUUCCACUUUUGAAUAAAACCAAGCUGUUGGCUCAGUGUAUGUUGAUGCUUUUUGGAACUGGUCAUUUUAAAUCAUAGUCUCAUUCAGGAUGGAUGGGACUUUCAGAGUCUCUGUUUCAAAGAGAUGGUCAGCGCUGACUUCAGACCAGGUUCCCCAGGAUUUCGUUCACUUAAGACCUAGAGUAUCUCAGCUCCAAAUAGCACCCUGCCCCUGGGCCUGGCCACCACUGUUCUCACUGCAGUUACCACCCCCUGUGCUUUCCCUAGGUCUUGCAUAAAUGAAGAUGAUUCGUAUAGUUUACAUGAUUCAAAUUGUCCUUUCUGUUAGGGUAUAUUUGUAAGAUAAUCAGUGAGGAUCAUCUCAAGCCUUAAAAUGUUUCGCUGCAUGAGUCACAGGAAAACAGUAUGUUCAAUAUAGCAACAGGAAAAACUGACACAAAAAAGGAAAAUGUCAUUAGUUUAACUCUAGAUUUUUACUUUGCUUCCUUCUACUUCUUUUCAAUGCAUUAGCAAAAAAUUAGUAAAACAACUGGUAUUCCUGACCUCUCUUGUAUUUGGAUUCUCAUUCAUGUUCAACGAAUUCAGCAGUCUGAACCUGAAGCUCUGACAGAUCCGGCCAGAGAUGACAAGGGAAAGAAGAAAAGUUUUUGACAGGUACAGUGGUGACAAAGGGAAGACUAGGGACAACUUGGGCCCUCUUCAGAAGGAAAUGGGAGACCUGGUUAUCCAGGAUAUGGAUAAGGCUGAGGUACGCAAUGGCUUUUUUGCCUCAGUCUUCACUGGCAAGUGCUCCAGCCACAUCAUCCAAGUAACAGAAGGCAACAGCAAGGACCUGGAGAAUGAAGAACCACCCACUUCAUUAGGUGGCAGGAGGCCACCUAAGAAACCUGAAGGUGCACAGGUCUAUGGGGCCUGAUGAGAUGCAUUCACAGGUCCUGAGGGAACUGGGAGGGAAUGGCAGUGAGUACCUCCAAAGCAUCACCACACUCUGCUCCUGGCUGCUGUUUCUAACCCACCUUCCCAUUUAUUUUCCAUUUAAAUUGGGUGAAGAACCUAGCACUACACCAUCUAGAGGAAUGCUCAUCUGAUUUUGCUAAAGGUCUGUCAGCUUUUUACUCUGGACAUCAGUUCUUAAGGAUUAAAUCCCACGUGUGGGAAGACUCCUAGCUUUUUCUGCCCCUAUGAAACAGCUACAAAAACUGUAACGUCAUGGAAUUAAAGCAAACUGAGCAACGCUCUACUAAAAUAUCUGUACAGACCAUUGAUCCUACUGAAGUAUUGCAGUGAAUGCAAUUCUUUAUUUCUGUCAGCAUCUUUCACAUGCAAGACUGCAAUACAAUUUAUUAGCCAAGCAUCAGAAAAACUUGCCAGGUUUUAUGCAGAUGUAAUAGCCAGAUGGUUUAAGGAUGCUGUAGCUUCCAAAGAUUCAACCAAAAUGAUUGAAAGAGACUUAAUGUUUCAUGGGAUAAAAUUUUAUUUUUU